rnacentral:rRNA from 1 species
GACGUAGGGUGCAAGCGUUGUCCGGAAUUAUUGGGCGUAAAGAGCUCGUAGGCGGUCUGUUGCGUCGGCUGUGAAAACCCGGGGCUCAACUCCGGGCCUGCAGCCGAUACGGGCAGACUAGAGUUCGGCAGGGGAGACUGGAAUUCCUGGUGUAGCGGUGAAAUGCGCAGAUAUCAGGAGGAACACCGGUGGCGAAGGCGGGUCUCUGGGCCGAUACUGACGCUGAGGAGCGAAAGCGUGGGGAGCGAACAGG